AUGGCUCCCCCUAUGCCAUCCUCGUCUCCGAUUCCAGUUAUGGACACACGGAUGAGGCUGAUAAUUCAGGUAGCAGCACUGAUAAGUGUGAUUCAGGCAUGGGUCAUGUUCAUGCACCAGAGAGCUGUUCGUCGUGUCGGGAGACCUUUGAUCCGCUAUGGUCCAUUGUUUAUCCGGGAACAGGAAAGGAUCCAAAAUCUGAACUACAUCUACAACUGCAAUGAUGUCGAGGCUCUUUGGAUGCUUCGAAUGAGAAGAGCACCAUUUGCCAGGCUUGUCGAGACCUUCAGGAGCAGGGGGCUGCUACAAGAUAACAUCAACACCAGUGUGGAAGAGCAAAUGGCCAUGUUCCUCCAUGUUGGCCAUAACCAAAGGUUCAGGGUCAUUCACAACAGGUUUAGGAGAUCAAUGGAGACCAUCUCUAGGUACUUCAAGAAGAUGCUUUUUGCUGUUGGGGAGCUUAGAGGAGAGAUGAUCAGGAGACCAUCUGGCCAGACUCCACCCAAGAUUCACGGAAGCCCAAGAUGGUAUCCAUACUUCAAGCUGAGCACUAACACAGGC
rnacentral:rRNA from 1 species